CCAACUGACUUGAUCUGAAUAAGUCAAUACAGGUUUACGGUGUCAGACUUGAUGAGGAUGGAAAAGAUUGUUUUGGAGAAAGUGUGUUGGAAAGUCAAAGCUACUACUGCCAUUCAAUUUCUGCAACUGUGUUAUUCACUCCUUCAAGAGAGCUUGCCAUUUGAAAGGAGAAAUAGCAUUAAUUUUAAAAGACUAGAAGCUCAACUUAAGGCAUGUCAUUGCAGGAUCGUAUUUCUAAAGCAAAGCCUUCUGUGUUGGCAUUGUCUAUCGCUGGAUUAGAGAUCCAAGCACAGAAGUGUGUACAGUUAACAGAAGGAGCGGAAUGCCUUCACAAACAUUCCAACAUAAAUUGCAGAGAUUUGACCUUCUGGCAAGAGUUUGUAUCCAAACGUUUAACUGAAUAUUCAUUAAACAAGUGUUCCAAACCAAAUAUUCAGAAGCUGAAAUGGAUUGUUUCUGGGCAUACUGCAUGGCAAUUGAAGCAUAGUUACUACAGAAUAACUCACCUUCCAACAAUUCCUGAAAUGGUUCCUUAAAUGGAUUAUUACAGCACCAAAAAACUUCUCUGAAGCCCUUCUCCACAAGUUUGUUCUAUAGAUUCCAUAAUAUUACAAUGGAUUUAAGCUAUGAAGCCUCAAAACAUCAUGAGAUAAGCAUGAUGGGCUCAGACUUCAGAAAACUGCCUAAUUAAUGUUACACUGUAGUGGAAUUAUGUUUAGAUUUGAAUUUGUCUGUGAAGCAUUCAAAUCGAAGCUAAAAGCCUAAAUAUGAAAUGCUAAUGACAAGCCUGAGAAGGUAAACUGUGAAUUUUCAUUUCUAUCAUUGAUCUAACUUAAGUAUUGGAUCAAUAUCUUUAGGUGGUAUUGAAAAUGGCAUCAGAAGAGCCAUACUAAUACCAUCAACUAUCGGUCUUCCCACAGCUUCAAUCACUCUCAUUAUCCUAAUCCUACUCUUACUUAAUUUAAAUAUUAAAUUUUAAGUUAUGAGGUUUACUUCAAAAGCAACAUUUCACAAAUGCGCUUUUAAGGCAUAAUAAGGGUUAACAUUCUAGGCAGUAUAAACACACCCCAUGAUGCAAGUAAUAGAUAAUCCAAAGAUGUGGACUUUAUUCCUAUAUAAGAAUUACAUUUAAAUUUGAGGGCAUUUUAUAUAAAGAAAAAUACAGACCUAGAAAGUUUGGCAUAUUCAUUAAGUUAUCUUCAAUAUUUUUUUCUAGAAAACAGGUGACAUUUGUAUCUAUAAUAAAAUUUUUAUACAGAACUUACUGCCUCAAACUGAAUCCCAUAAAAAAUUAGUUUCUGUUGUAUUAGUAACUCAGAAUGAAUUAUCACUUUGAAAAUUUGCUUUCCCACAGUAAGGUAAGUUCAGGCUAGAUUCAACACUCCAGAUGAUUUUUAACUAAAGACUAUUUUUAAAUUAGAAGUGAUGGCAGUUUUUUAAAAAGAGAAUAUACUUCCACUGAUGCCCUUACUGUGCUAAAACAAAGUCUUAAGAAAAGCAAGUAGAGACCCUCAUAACUAUGAAUGAGUCUGCUGAGGUAGUAUUUAAGAUUCUCCAUGUCAGUCAGUACAUGUAAGAAGUGCAAUGUUAAAGUGUUGUAAACAGUUACUCAGUGCACUGUAUAGCCUGAGUCCAUCCAGAAUUAGUUGUAACCAAUUGGCUGUAACCAAUUUGACAUCACGUAUGGAUCAAUACACAAUGAAAAACCAAAGAACCACUGUCUUAUCCUUAACUUUUAUAAACUAUGUUUUACGGGUAACUUUUUAGUUUUCCCAAAAGGCUGAUAAAUUUCAAUAUUUUGAAUAUGUCAUUGUUAAUUUUGAGUUGGCAGAAGUAAACUAACCAACUACCAUCAUGUUUUAGUACUAAGGGAUAUACCUUUCAAUAAAAUUACUGAAAUGCAAAAAAAAAA